AGGACGAACGCUGGCGGCGUGCUUAACACAUGCAAGUCGAGCGGAAAGGCCCUUCGGGGUACUCGAGCGGCGAACGGGUGAGUAACACGUGAGCAACCUGCCCUUAGCUUCGGGAUAGCUCCGGGAAACCGGAAUUAAUACCGGAUAUGACUAUGGCCGACAUCAGCCAUGGUGGAAAGUUUUUCGGCUAGGGAUGGACUCGCGGCCUAUCAGCUAGUUGGUGAGGUAACGGCUCACCAAGGCGACGACGGGUAGCCGGCCUGAGAGGGCGACCGGCCACACUGGGACUGAGACACGGCCCAGACUCCUACGGGAGGCAGCAGUGGGGAAUAUUGCGCAAUGGGCGAAAGCCUGACGCAGCGACGCCGCGUGGGGGAUGAAUGCCUUCGGGUUGUAAACCCUUUCAGCAGGGACGAAGCGAAAGUGACGGUACCUGCAGAAGAAGCGCCGGCUAACUACGCGCCAGCAGCCGC
rnacentral:rRNA from 1 species